UUGAUGGGUUGAACCCCCUAUCUUAUUUUAAAAAUUAAAAAAAUUACAACCAUACAAUGUUGGAUGGCAACCAUUAAAGUACGAUUUUAUUUUAGCACGUUGCGCCCAUGCACCUGUUCUUUUCCGUCCCAUCUUGCUCAAUAAUGCUUUAAUGAGUUUUUUCUUCUUUUUUAUUUAACUUUUCCUAUUUUUUAGGACCCAUUUUUGUUGAUUAUUUAUGUAUUAAUUUCAUUAUUUGUUUGAUUUGUGAAUAGAAUAAAAAUUAAGAAUGUAUUAAUUAUAUACAUUAGUCCUGUUUAAUGGUUGGUAAGCAUAUGAUUGAAGAAGAAGAUUAUUUUGAGGCGUGAAGAAUCAUUUUUAUAUCAAAGAGAUAUUGUUAGUAUAUAUACGGAAAAGAUAUAAGCAAUUCACUUCUGGUAUAUUUCCUUUUAUAUGCCUAAGGAAAAAGCAGAUGCCCAAAUUUUAACAGAAAAUUAAUGUAACAUUUGCUAGUUUAAGCAGCCGUCUUAUGCUGGUCAAUUGCAAGUGACAAAUGCAGUUUCAUUUCCAUUUAUAGUUUCUGAGUUGUAGUAAUUCGAGAUUUUUAAUUAAAAGGUUCAAAAUUUAAAUGAAUAGACACAUAAAUAACAGAGAAGGUUCAACAUCUACUAUAUAUCUAAAAAAUUAUUUUAACCAUAUAUAGAUAAUACUAAUAUUUUGACGAAGGGAGUUUGGACGUACCUGAGAACAAGGUGGCUUUCUUAGGUACAAUAUGCCUUUAUACUGCCUCCGUUCACAGACCAAAUUCAUUUUCUUUUAUUCUUAAUUACAAAAGCAUACAUAUAUAAUUGAAACACAACAGCAUAUAGGCUUAACGUCAAAAGCUCCCAUAUAAUCCUAUUGAUCAUCGAUCAAUCUUAUUUCAAACAAGUAAUUAAUUACUUAACCAUUGGAAGGUGGGGCAAUCACUGAACCCUUAGCAAUCUUGGACUUGAAAGACUUUGUCAAAUCUGGAGUCGUAUUUAGAGAGGCCUCUAAAAUUGAUGGAGACGCUGCUUCCCAAAUUGAGUUUUUCCCACCUGAUAAUUCUCCAUAUACUUGCCUGCAAAUAUAUCGUAAAACAUUAAUCAGUACUUACUAUAUACUAGUUAACGUCUUUGCAUAAAUUGUUAGAAAUACUAACUUUGGCGAUGUUUUCACGGAGAAGAACUACUCUUAGUCGCUUUUAAAAAAGACUUUUUUUUUUAGAUCUGUUAGAAUUAUGAACUUUCUACGUACCUUCACAAACAUAAGCAAUUUUAGAGGAAUCAGCAUAGUGAGGUAAAGCUAAGCCACGAGGCUGAAGAAUUAAUAAUCCAGCUGCAACUUUUUUCUGACUUAGAGUGGGAAAUUGGCUACUUGACCAUGUGUAGUAUCCACCAACUCCUUCAACUUCCACUAUCGUUUUAUCGGCCUUUUUCGAUGAUAAUAUUAAAUCCAUCGACAUAUUUAUCGUAGGUAAAUAUUAUUAUUCUAUGCUCUUACAUUCUUCAAUUGUAUCCUUCUAUUUAUAGAGGCUGCAUGUAUUAGGGCUUGGAAGUAAUUUGUCAAUCAAUUAUUGAUCUUUUAAGUACCAAGCAAUUUUUUUCUAUUUUGUAAUAAAUUAAAUAAAAAUAAUUUUGUCAUAUCUUUUUUAAAAAUUGAUUUGUCAUACAAGACCUAAUACAUAUGUUCCUUAAAUUUUAUUUGGAUACUUAUAUUCUCUUUCUAAUUUAUGUCGAAUCAAAUUAUACUCUCUCUAUCCCUAUUUAUUUGUCCAUAUUUUCUAUUCUUAUUUACUUGUUCAUUUUAAUAAAUCAAAAAAGAAUAAUAAUUUUUUUUCCUAACAUGCCCUUAUUUAAUUCUAGAAAAUAUCUAGUACUACUAAGAAAAUACAUUUAUUAUAUUUGGAAAGUUACAUAAUCUUUUUAGUUAAAAAUAAAAUUGUAACUAAUGUAUGAUAAUAGUUGAUGCCUUCUUAAUAUGUAUAUCACACUUCUAAAGUGGAUACUAAUUAGGGACAGAUGAAAUAUUAUAUAAAUUCAUAAAUAUGGAUUUCAUAUGUAUUUCCAUGACAUGAUAGUGAGAGGGCUAUAAGUGGUCGCCAUCAGUUAUAAGAAGCCUUUAGCCCUUCGAAAAGGCAGUGUCUUUAUUCAUGACAUUAAGGCAGUGUCUUAAAAGCUGGUCAAACUGAUUUAAAAGCUGAUUUUUAACUUAUAAGUUGUUUUAAGUUGACCAUAUGUUUUAUCUUUUUCUGUUUAAUAUUUUUAUACAAUCUCCAAAUUAUCUAUAUAACCCUAACAUUUCUUUCUUCCAUUUUUUCCUUUUCACGUUUGACAUAAAAACUUCAGCACUUUUAUCCAAACACAUAACUAUUUAUUUUAAAAAUAAAUUUCAGCACUUUUAAAAGUACUUUUUUAAAGCUAAUUUUAUUAAGCCCAUCCAAACAGGUCCUAAACCUUAUUAUCAGAUGGUGGAAAAUAUGAUUUGAGACUCAUGUUUACAGCUAUUACAUAUUGGGAUGGCAAGCGGUACGGCCUCCCACCAGCUAUUUUCCGUUUCUCUGUAACUUGAUUAUUUAUGUAUUAAUUUUAUAUAUUAUUUAAAUAGAUAUAAAAGUAAUAUAAUUGUAUUCAUUUUAUAUAAUAUUCAUUUUAAUUGCUUCCAAUGUUUCCUUUUCGUCAAUAUACAUUUUUCAAACAGAUGUCCAUUUGUUUCCACGACUGUCCCAUCACAUAGGCAGCAUUCAAUAUCAUCCUUAUCAAUUAAAUCUUUUUUAAUUAAAAAAUUAUACUAUUCAUUUACCUUUUAUUUUUCUUAAAGACGAGUAGAAAGUCUUUCCACCGGCAACUAAUAAGUGAUGGAAACUAAUCUGAGUUGCCAAUUAGUUUAAGUCAUAAUUUAAUCGUCUAUUUUUAAUUAUCACAAUUUUUUUAAAGAAUUAAAUUAUAUAAAUUUUGAUUAGCAUUUUACAAUACAUUUUUUAAUCAUAUUGAUAUGCAAAAAGUUACAAUUUUAUAAUACUUUUCAUAUAAUUUUUUUUAAUUCAAAAUAUCAAAUUAUUUAACUUUAAAAAUGAUUUAAAUUAAUAUUUAAAAAAUGUAACAUUAACAAUUAAAAAUGGACCGAGGAAAGAAGUAUAUGGGUGGGUGUUAAUUACAUAUUUUUGGAUGUUAGUGUCCACUAACAAUAAUCGAUGAGUCAAUCUAAUUUGCUUACUUAUUUAAUAAAUUUUAGUACUGCCAGUUAAACAAGAUAAUCUAUAUAUAAAAGAAUAUUUUUGUGGUCCCAUAGUUAAAAAUUGUUUGCCUAUUAAUUAAAGGAUCCCAACUUUUCUAAUGAAUAUGCCUAGACCAGGGCCAAGUCUAUUUAGUAAGUAUGAUUAAUGAAUAGGGUCCCAACUACUUAUCUAUUAAAAUUAAAAUUUGUACCUUAUGAUUUAUAUAUUUAUAAUAAAGUCAACUCGUUAUAGGCAUGUAAGUUAUAUGUGAGAUGUUGAUGAUUCUAAAGUGUACGGAAUGAUGAUAUUGUAUUCACGUGAUUCCAGUUACGUGCAAAUACUGAAUGCAAGCUAAUAUACUAAUUAGGUGUGUGGCUACAAUAUAAAUUAUAACAAAUUUCUAUGCUAAUAUACUAAUUAGGUGUGUGGCUACAAUAUAAAUUAUAACAAAUUUCUAUGCUAAUAUACUAAUUAGGUGUGUGGCUACAAUAUAAAUUAUAACAAAUUUCUAUGCUAAUAUACUAAUUAGGUGUGUGGCUACAAUGUAAAUUAGAACAAAUUUCUAUGCUGAUAUACUAAUUAGGUGUGUGCCUACAAUGUGAAAUUAUAACAAAUUUCUUUAAAAGCAUGCGUAGACAAUGAAAUUUUGUGGAAUUUACAAGAUGCGAUUUAAUUUGAGUUGAGACUUUACAAAGUGUGUUCAACUCAAAUUAGGAUUUUGGAGGUUACUUAAUCCUAAAUUUUAAUUUAUGCCUAUAUAAAAGGUACUAAAUUCUCUUUAAAACAUCUCAGAAAUUUCAUAUAGAGAUCAAGAUCUCGAAUGCUUCACAAAUUGAUAGAUUAUUCAUAUAACGAGGUCAAAUCUAAAUCAUUCCAGUUCGAGAAAUAUGCCACUAACGAUCCUGGAAUCAUGAAAUGAUGGAUAAAUCUUAAGAGAUUAGAAUUAAGGGAUCAAUAGAAUUAUUACCCACUAUUUUAAUGAAUAAAAUCAUAUUUAUUCAUAUUUUAUUUGUAUGAUUUAUUUAUUUUUCAUAUGUUUAAAAUUUAUUACAAACAACAUAGUUAAUGUUAGUUCAAUUAAUAACAAUAUAUCUCACGUCGAGAAAAUCAUGUAUUGCACAAUUUUGAUUGUACACGUAUUAAUGCUAUAAAUUGUGGUGGAUUUUAUCGACUUCUUUUUAAUAAUGAAUGCUCUACUAAAAAUAUUUACACGAAAAAUAUUUUUUUUCGUAUUAAAUAGACCAUUAAAUUAAUUUGUAAGAUAGAAAAGUUGCUUAGGGGUUGGUCGUUCCGCCCCCUAUAUGCCUAAUUGUGGUCUUAAUCAAUUCAACGUGCCGUAUACGUUUUGCUUUGUCUCAUUCUUAUAUACUUGUGAUAUUUCUCUUUUUAAUUUUAUUUUAUAUAUACUAUUAUUAUUUAUUUAUUUUGGAUAAUUUAUUAUUUUUAGGGAAAAAUAUAAAUUAUCUCUGUAAAUUGUACCCAAAAGUUAUUUACACACUUAAAAUAUUAUAGAGACCGAUUACACACUUGCUCUUGUUAAAAGUGUAACUAAUAUCACUUCCUAACGUACAAAACCAGUCACACAUAUUAGAGUUGUGUGCACGUGCCUGCUAGAUCCUGUGCAAGAAUACACCUGUAAUUUUUAAAUCUUUUCACUUGUUUCCUAACAAAUUUUGCCUUUAUCUUCUCUCGUCAUUUUUAAAUUUUUUAUCCUAAUCAUUUUACCUCUAUCUUUUCUCAUCUUCCUUACAUGAAUGACACCAUUUUUGUCGUUAUUUUUUCUCUUCUUUCUUAUCUGAAUGACACAUUUUUAAUCCUUUCUUCUGAUUAUAAAACAUAUUAAACAAAUUAUUGCGACAAAUAAGAUCGACGGAGUAACAGAGAUGCUUAAAAAAUUUGGAAAGAAAUGAGGGACAUGGAUAACAAAUUAAAUCAAAGUUAUUAUUCAAUACGACUUUGUCCCACUUUUCAUCGCCAUUGACAUUAAUUUGGAACCCAAAACUUAUAUUUCUCACUUCUUAAACUAUCUAAACACCUUUCUUUCUUUUGAAUUUUUAAAAUAUGGGUCAAAUGAACUUUAAUUGAUAAUGAUUUAUUUUGAAUUUUCUUUUUAGUUAGUAGUGCUUUGAUGGUAAUGGAUUGUGAAACUUGAAAUAAAUAUUUUAGUAUGUAUAAAUCUAUUAAAUUUGCAGCGCUUUGUAUACUUGAUAAUCUUGAUAAGUGGGGGUGGGAACAAUUGAAUUUUCUUGGUAAUAAAUAUUUCGAAAUUUAGGGUUUCACUCUUUAAUGUUCUUUUGAUGCUAAUGGGUUGUGUAAAAUUUAGAUGAAAAAAUUAUCUUUUUUUUGUGAAUCACUUUGCUAAAUUAAGUAUGAGUCAAAUUAAUGAAGAAUUCUCAAGUAAUGAUAAUAUUGAGUUAAUAUUGAGUGGGAAAUUGUAGAGUUUAGAUAAAAAGAAAAUGAAGAAGAAGUCUAAAAGAGAAUGAGAGACGAGCAUGCAAUUGGGUGGGGGAUAUUUUUUUUGACUUUAUUUCGACCCAAAUGCACCUAAUUUAUAUUUUUAUUUUAUUUUAUUUCUACGUCAAUUUUAGGGUAAUAUUAAUUAUACUUUCAUCAAAAAUAAAUAUAUAAUAAAUUCUGAUAAUAGUUUAAACACGUAACUGAAUUUUCACUACAAAACAAAGAAUGAAUAUAUACCUUUUCCUUUUAUUGUUACUAUAUGUUGGGGAAAUUGUGGGAUCCUCCCACAUCAAUGGCUGGCUAUCGCAUAUAGUGAAAUAGUCUAUCAUUUCACAACAAAUAACAUUCAUAAAAUAAUAUGUCUUAACCAGAAGUGUAGUUUAUUUUGGUCUCAAAUAGGUUAAAAUUUAAGUUUAGUCAUGAUCCAUUUAAUUUGAACUGUUUAAUCUCAGUAAUUUUGAUAAUGUAUUAUUAUUCAACUUUAUAAUCAUAAUUUGAAUUUUAACUUAAGAAAAUUUAAAUAAAAAAGUUAUAAAUGGAUAUAUAAAUCCUCAAAAAUAUAAAAUAGAUUGUAAUUUAUACUUUCAAUAUAAGAAUUAAGAAUAUACAUUAUAUGAAAAUAAAAAAUUUUAAAACGAGUUGAAACUGAAGAAUAAAUUGGGCUCAAUUGAGAAUUCUCUUAAAAUAGGUUAUAGUUUGAUGAGCUGAUAUUGAACCUAAUUAUAAUUACCUUGAGCCCAAGCGUUAAAAUCUGGAUAAGUUGGACAGAUUACCUAUACUAGGGGUGUACAUGACCGGGUUGAUUCAAAAUUUUCAAAUAUCAAAUCAAAUCAUUUGUGAAAUUUUUUUAAGUUUAUAAACCAAAUCAAACUGAUAAAAUUCGAUUUUUUCGAGUUUUUCAACAUCGGGUUGGUUGGAUUUUUCAAAUACCGAACCAUUGUGUCAGAUUUUUAAAUUUAUAAAUCAAAUCAAACUAAUAAACCUUGGAUUUUUUUGGUAAAAUUUGCAUACAAACAUAUAAUUAACUUGUGCUCCAAAUAUUUCUUUAGUCCAACCAAAAUACAAUUAUCUAAGGUGUUUCUUUAAGAAAACAAAAAAACAAAAUAUGAGAUAAGUACUGAUGAAAAUAAUCAUAACUUAAAGUAAUAAAUCAUGCUAAAAUAAGUUAAAUAAAUAUUAGUUAAAUUAGUAAAUAUUUAAGAAAAAUUAAAAUUAGAUUAUAUAUUUUAAUUGUCUAAACCAAUCUAAAACUAAAGAACAAAUAUUCAAUAUUGUUGUCAUUCUUAUUGUUGAUUUGAUUUUCUUUUGCAGUAGUAUUAAUUUGAUUAUAAUUUAAGUUUUAUUAUAAUUAUCAACAUUUAUGAAAUAUAAUAUCUUGAAUUUCAACUUUUAAACUUGAAAUAAUAUAUUAAAAGAUAAAAAUUAUGAAAUAUAUAAGAAAUAUUUUAAAAUUAUAUCAAAGUAAAUAUUUUCAUGUAUAAAAUAAAAUUUUAAAAUUAAAUAAAGAAUAUCGGGUUGGUUUGGUCUCGAGUUAUUUUUUUAGUUAAAACCAAACCAACCUAAAUAUAGUCAAUUUUUUUUAAUAGUAAAUCAGAUCAAACCAAAUCACUGGUCGGAUUGUUCUUGAUUUGACUCUAUGCGAUUUGAGCGAUUUUCAAUUCGAUUUUGUACACCCCCAGCCUAUAUUUUGGUUCAUUUUUUACACCCCUAAUCCUGUCUAUUAUCGUAUAGAUCCUAUAUACAAUUAUUGCACCACAAAACCACCACAAAAAAAAACAAUCGUUGGCCUCAUAAACUUGGCCACAGUUUUCAUUUAGACACUUUAAUUAGACUUUGUUCAUUUUAGACAACUCGUGUCAGAUUACAUUGUGUUAUUUUGAAACUUUUUUCAAUAGUACAUGUUGACUUCAACUGUGUGUUAACUAAGCGCGUCCACGUGAAUUGGAUGCCCAAUUAUAUCAUGCCAACUCAUUAAAAGUCUAUUAUAUUAAAGAGAAAAAAUAAGAAUUAAAAUAUAUGACAAAGUAACCAAUGAAUAAAUGACAUGUGGUCUUUUUAUCCCAAAAAGUUAAAUAAAUGCACUUGCCAAAUUUAAAGAGAAAAAUGCAAACCCCCAGUCAUCUUCCUCAUUCAUCUUCUCCAUUAUAUUGCUCCAUUUCAAUUAUUUCUUAGUUUUAUAUUUUUUGUCGUAAAUCCUCGCUCAUACAAUCUACUCUUUCAUAUUUCUUCAUUUUCAUUAGCUUUGCUAUCACACCCCAACCAUCUUCACCAUUUUAUUCCUUUUUUUUUGUGAUUUUUUUCUGCCAUAAUCCCCAUUCGUUGCACCCUCUCUUCUAUCUCUUCAUUUGAUUUAGGGCUAAAAGGUGCAAAUCUAUAACAAUAAUAGUUCAUAUUUUUGAGAUUACAGUCUUUUUUCUUUAAUUUUGUGAUAUUUGUAAUUUAAUUAGGGCUCAAGAUUAGUGAGAUUAACAUUUACAUAGUAAAAAUUAAAAUUUUUUUGCUCGUAUUUUAGGAUUAUUGUGGGUGAAGUUUAAAUGAUUUGGGGUGUUGUUGAUAUGAGUUUGAUUUAUUAUUUUUUUUUUCGGAUCUAUUUAUAUUUGUAGUGUGAAAUUAAAAUUAUUAUAGCAAAAGAUUUAAGAUUUGAGAAAUAAUAAAAGAGAUAGUGGCUAUAAAAUGAAAAAAAGAGAAGAAAAAAUAAAAUAAAAUAAACUAAAUAAGUUCUUGACGCGUUAAUGGCGAGUGUAUAAUACUCACAGCGUCAAAAUGAUACAACAAAAUCCAACAUAAAAUGUUUAAAAUGAACAAAAUCUAAUUAAAAUGUACAACACUCACUUUACCAUGUUAAGCGUGGAUGAAAUGAUGAUAAAUUAUCAAUUUUAAAUUUAUCUAGGAAAAAGACAUGAGAAAGAAAAAGAGAGCAUUGGAAUUAUUGGAGUCUGAAAUGAACUCACUCCAAUUCCUUAAGUUACUAAGUUGUGAAAAAUCUUGUAUACUUGUUUCAUUAGAUGUAAAUUCUUAGUGUUUUUUUAAAGUGCAUAUAUGGUCCAAUGGUAGAAUUAUUCAAUAUCAAAGUAAAUACUAAACUACUAUAUUCCCUUUAUAUUAUACAUUUUUUUAAAAAUGACUGAUUAUGUCAUAAGACUUUUUUAAAAAAAGUUAUAUAUUUAAAGAAAGCCGUGUCCCAUCAUUUUCCGACAUACUCGAUCAAUUAUUAGUAACAAUUUUUAGUGGUGAAAGUAGGUAGGUAAAUUUUAACAAAGAUUGGUGGCAGGGCAUUAUAUCAUAAAAAUGUAAAUUAUGCCUCAAAAAGAAACUAAUUUAACAAUAUGUAAACAUGAACCAGCAAUUGGGUUCGUAGCAAAUUCAUUUUUCUUUUAUUCUUAGGAAGAAUGACAUUCAUAUACACACACAAUGAUACACACAUAAAGAGCUUUUAUAAGCUUGUAUUCAAGAAAAUCUAACACCAAAAACUCCCAUAUGAUCUUCAAAUAAAGUAAAAUAGUUCAAAUAUAUCGACUUCACCGUCGAUGUUAUUUUCAAGCAUAGAAUUUCUUUUUUUUUUUGCUUAAAUAGUUGAAGGUGGGGAAAUCACAGCACCCUUAGCAAUCUUGGCCUUGAAUGACUUUGUCAAAUCUGGAGUCCUAUUAAGAGAAGCCUCUAAAAUUGAUGGAGAUGCUGCUUCCCAAAUUGAUUUUUUCCCACCCGAUAAUUCUCUGUACGUUUGCCUGUAAAUACAUAUAGAACAAUAAUAUCAUAUCAUUUAUUUGCAUGUUUUAGUUUUUAUCUUAGUUAAACGAUAUGAUUGAUUACUUACUUUGACGAUGUUUUCAGGGAGAAAAAUUCGAUCCCUCCUUCAUCAGCUUCCACUACAAAUGGAAAAAAUUUUGGUACAAAAAACAGUUCACCUUCUUCCACUUUUGCAUCCAACACAACCUUGCCAAACAGUCCCACAAUUACAACACGUCCACUUCCUUUCGUAAUAUAACUCAAAUGAAUAGACGAAUCUGCUGUAAAAAUGGGACCAAGUACAGCACCAGGUUCCAAAACUAGGCGAUUCGCGCUUAAUCCAACCUCUCCGAGCAACGCUAUAUUCUUACCGCUCACCGAAGAUAAAACUCCACCGUUUUUAACCUCAACACAAGGUUUUGCACCAUCCAAGUUGUGAACCAACUUGCGUUUUGCGCUGUUGGAUGCAUUUGGAAUUUGUAUACCUUCAUUUACCUUAAUUAAAAGAUUUAAACUACUUUGAUCUUUCAUAAGUUUUUCAGAUUCAGUUAUGUUCAUGUGAAAAGAUUUAGCAAUUAAUUCAUUAGGGAAUCCGUUUAGUAUACCAGCAGCACUAGUUAAAAAGAAAUAACAGUAUUCUCCUGGUGUAUAAUCCUUAGACGAUUCUCCCAAGAAAAUUAUAGUGAGUUUAGUGUCACCAGCAUUGUACCACCAUGACACUGUUCCCACCGUAACUGGUAGGGUAUCCCCUUUUUGAAUUUUUACAACUUCUUCUUUUGAAUCUUCUGGUGAGAUCAAUCCAGCAAUACAUUCACCUGUGAAAAUGAAAUAUAAGUGUUAGUUAUUUUAGUCUGUUUCAAAAUGAAUAUAUAACGAAAAUGUGUAUAUGUAUGUUAUAUAUAUACCUUCACAAACAUAAGCAAUUUUAGAGGAAUCAGCAUAGUGAGGUAAAGCUAAGCCACGAGGCUGAAGAAGUAAUAAUCCAGCUGCUAUUUGUUUCUGGCUUAGAACGGGAAAUUGGCUACUUGACCAUGUGUAGUAUCCACCAACUCCUUCAACUUCCACUAUCGUUUUAUCGGCUUUUUUCGAUGAUAAUAUUAAAUCCAUCGAUAUAUUUUCUUUUUUACUCAAACUAUAGACAAAAAGAAGGGAAUUGUUGUACGCAUUCCGAAGAGUCCGUCUCUUUCAUUUUAUAGAGACAACACACCUCUGACUUUGAUGUAUAAUAAAAAAAUUGUUGCUUAAAAUAGAUCAGUAUAUUAUUUUUUCCUCUUUUUUUUUGGUUUUAAAUAUUGAGUGUCGUUAUCAUAGAAUAUUUGAAUUGUUAUCUCAAAUAUAACCAUCGGACUUUUAUGUGUGAAAUUAUAGAAAAAUGGAAGUAUAACAUUUUCAAUUAUCGAGUAAUGAUAUGGUGUAAUAAAAAAAUCAAUUCAUUCUCAUCACGAUACAAGUAAAUGGAAUAUAUUUACUCAAUCAACACGUCUUUGUGUAUACUUUCAUUUAAUAAUAUAAUAAGGUAAUAAUUAUUUAUUCAUAUACAAUUUCAUUAUAUUGAGUUGGAAACUAAAUAAGCCACAAAAGUGUAAAAAUGACCAAAAUAAGCCACUAUUUUAGUUAGUAACUAAAAUAAGCUUAGUGGAAAAAAAAGUUCCACUUUAUCUAAUUUUCUAAAUGUUUUCCGUUAGGGUCAUAACGUGUAUUUUUAAUGUAUAACGGAACUUUUUCUUCCACUUUACAAAGUGGAGUUUUUUCUUCCACUUUAUAAGAGGAAUAUUUUUCACGUUUCGAAAAAGUUUUUUCAGUGUUGUCAUACAAUUAUGUUGAUUAGACAUGUCAUAAAACGGAAAAAAAUAUUACACUAUGUAUUUUUAUUUUUUUAUUCAGAAAAAACUUUCAAUCUCUAUUUAAGGUCGUUUAAAAUGAUUGAUAUCACCUACAAAAUAAAAUCUUCUAUAUUUUGUUCAUUCAAUCUCAAAAAAAAAUGUCUUCUACGCCUAAAGUUAAAGUUUCAAUUUAUAAUUGUCCUCCCAAACACAAUGCUAAAUAUCCAAUUAAUGUUCGAUAUCAUAAAUUCAUUUCAUCAAUUUAUAAAAGAAUGGGUAUAAACAGUACUGAUUAUAAUUUGAUUAUAGUCGGAAAAUACCCUACUUCAUUUUUAUCACAAGGACAAGUUAAUUUUGGAGAGUGAAUUAUCUAUAAUGACGAAUCGUUGACCGACUUUUUGAGGGUUCCAAAUGACUACAUAGAUCAAAUCAAGUUAACAAUACUUGAAAUCUAUGUUAGGAAGGAGCCUAAGAUUAGUCAACAACGUUCUCAUUUAUCAGUCGAUGUCAAUCCCCAAUUAGAAAAUCGUAAUAGCGUUGAUGAAUUUCCAAUAACUCAAUCUGCUGAUUUUCCUAACAUGACUCAUUAUCAAAAUAUUCUUACCGGCUGAUAUGAUUUUGAUUUAAAUGAAACUAUCAAUGAAAGUGAUCGGUAAUGCUCAAUAAUUAUAUUUCAAUCAUUAUUUAUUGAUUUUGUCAAUUAUUUAUUAGUUUAUAUGAUUUAUUUUUCUUAUUAUUAUAUAUUUUGUAGCGGUUUACCUCAGCAAGAUAGGAAUAUUGCUCCAAGUUAUGGAUUAGAUAAUUAUUUUGGUCAGUCAUCACACUUUGAAAUGACGGAAAAUGUUGGGACAUCCUCAAAUUUUUAUGUCUCGCCUACUUUUGGUGCAGAUGAUUUUCAGUAUGUUCAACGUUUGAUUUUUUUUAUUUAAGUAAGUUAAUUGCAUGAGCGAAAUAUUUAUACUUUUUUACAUAUAUAGGGAAAAUAUCACACAAGAUGAACCCAUUGAUCCUGUGAAUAUUGAUGAUCGUGACCUUCCUAAUUAUGGCUCACCUUCAGGUAGUGAUAGUGAUGAUUUGCCUAAUGCUGAGGAAUCAGGAGAUAAUGUUCCAUUUGAGGCAUCAUCUAGUGAUGAUGAUGUUUCUACCCUCAAUCGAUCGCCAAGACCAAUGUCCAUGAGCCCGUUUCGUAAUCAUGAAAUUCCUUAUCUUGAUCAUCUCCCGGAUGGUUCAGAUAUCUUUGGUGAUACAUAUGAUGAGUAUACAUCACAACGUACGUGGCAUGAACCAGAAGAUUUCAUGAAUGGUGCUAUUUAUAUUGAAAAAGGCAUGUUAUUCAAUUCAAAGAAGCAGUUGCAAAGAGUAGUUAAACUUCUACAUUUGAAAGUAGCAAGGGAGUACUUUGUUAUUAAAUCGACAAAAAAAUCAUGGCGACUUAUUUGCAGGCGUGUAGAACAAGGAUGUCGAUUUAGGUUGACUUAUUUUAUUGAUAAACAUACUAACAUGUGGAAUGUUGGAAGAUAUAUUGAAGAACAUACAUGUGAUAUGGGUACAUGUCGCGAAGGACAUUUCAACUUGGAUGUUGAGAUGAUUGCUAACGUCCUUCGUGUUGAUAUAGAAAGAACACCAAGGUACUAUUUUAUCCUUAGAUGAUUCUUAUUUAAUAAGAAAAUAUUCAUUUUUAUUUGAUAAUUAAUAUUAUUAUUACUUUUCAGGUUUCCCAUCAAAGACUGUCAAAUAGCCGUUCUUAAAGCAUAUGGCAUUUCGAUAAGUAGAAGAAAAGCCUAUUUUGAUCGCAAGCGGGCUUUUGAAAAAGCCUAUGGUACUUGGGAGGGUAUUAUUUUAUCGUUUAAUAUAUUAUGGUCCAAUAAAGAUUAUGGUUCAUAAAUGUUGAUAAUUACAAUAAAACUUAAGUCAAAAUCAAAUUAAUACUAAUGCCAAAAAAAAAAUCAAUUCAAGAAUGACAAUAAUAUUGAAUAUUUGUUCUUUAGUUUUAUAUUGGUUUAGUCAAUUAAAAUACAUAAUCUAAUUUUAAUUUUUCUUAAAUAUUUUGUAAUAUAACUAGUACUUGUUAAACUUAUUUUAGCAUGAUUUAGUACUUUUAAAUUAUGAUUAUUUUCAUUAUGAUUUUCUAAUAUUUAUUUUAUAUGAUGAUUUCAUUAGUAUUUUUUAUCGAAUAUUUUUGUGUCGUUAAUACGCAUCUCAUAUUUUGUAAUAUUUUUUAAGAAACACUUUAGAUAACUAUAUUUUGAUUGAACCAAAGAAAUAUUUGGAAUACAAGUUAAUUAUAUAUUUGUAUGCAAUCUUAACUAGAAAAAUCUUAAAAUAUGGAAAAAUCCGAAGUUUAUAGUUUGGUUUGAUUUAUAAAUUUAAAAAAUCGACACAAUUGUUUGAUUUGGUAUUUGAAAAAUCCGAACCAAUCCGAGGUUGAAAAAUUCAAAUUUUGUUUGUUUGAUUUGAUUUAUAAAUUAAAAAAAUUUCACAAAUAAUUUGAUUUGAUAUUUAAAAAAAUCCAACCACCCGCUCAUAUACACCCCUACGAUAAUAUAUCCAGUAAAUUUUUAAAAAAUUAUUAUGUGAUCUUAUUUUAUAUUAAAGAUAAAAGUUUUGUAUUACCAUUAUAAUAUUAUAUGAAAUACAAUAACUUCAAUAAUUUGAAUAUUAAUUACAUUUUUCAAACGUUUCUGAAAUUAUAACGAUCUCAAAUCAGAACUCGUGAAUAUAUUAUUUCUUCGUUCGAUAUAUGAAUUAUGUAUCAAAUAUAUAAUUAUAUAUCAAAUAUAUAAAUAUAAGCUAGAUUCAUAUCAACUUAGAUUUGAAAGUGAACUAAUCAUUAUCUUUGAACAAAGUGUUAAUUUGAAUGAGUGCCGAGCUUAGAGUCUAUAUUAUCUUAGAAAUUGCCACGAGUUGACUAUGAAGUACAGCAAAUUUAUAUUACAUUUUUUUUUAUUUUAAUUUGCAUGAUAUGUGAAAUUCUGAAAAUCAAUCGAAUUUUUCUUUGAUUAUAAAUUUAUAAUAUUUUUAAAGUAAUAAUAAAUAUAUGAAAUUACUUACAUUAAUUUUUUUAAAAAUUAUUUCAAGUUGAAAUUAAAGAAAUAAAUGAAUACAGAGGGAGGCAACAUGACAUGUGGCAUCAAAAAAUUAUUUUUUGGUAGUUUAUUAUUUAUUAGAAAUGGAGCUUUAUAUUGUGUACACGUAAGCGCCUAAUAAGUUUUACAAUGCGACACGUUAUUAUCAAAUUUGAAGAGUUCAAAAUGCUUUUGUGAUGACAAAUAACUCAAUGUCAUCAACUCCAAGAAGCACUAAUAUCGUUGAAGGACACGUAUACUAAUAAUAAAUUUUAAUUUUCAUAACCCUCGUCUCAUUUGAUUUUAAAAAUAAAAUAAAUCUAACCACAUAAAUAUUUAAACAUGAUUUUAGAUCAUAAUAAAUAUUAGAUGUGUUCCUUUUUUUUCUAAAAUAUUGUUCCUUCCCUCUUUCCCUAAUUAUUUUUCAAUAUUCCUUAGUUAUUCGUCUAUUUUAACAAAUUAAAAAGAAUAAUUUUUAUUUUAUUAUGUUCUUAAUUAAUUAUAUUUUAAAAAGGUAGAAUUUGAUAAAAAUUUGAAAUUUUUAAUUCAUCUCCUUUAUAAUUAAUAGUGAUAAAAUAGUCAUUUAUUAAUAUGUGUCGAUUCAAAAGUGAACAAAUAAUUAGAGACAAAAAAAAACUAUCUACCUUCCCUUCUCUUAAUUUAUAUCACCUACUUUUGUUUUUAAUCGGUCAUAAAAAAAUGACACAUUUCUAUAUCAAAUAACAAUUUAACUUUAAAAUAUCCACUUUACUAUUAAUAAAAAAUUUACAGCCACUUAAAUUUUUGUCUUUCAUUUAAAAUCACAAAGUUUAAAAAUCCUCCUUUUUUCUCAUUUAAGUUUCACAUCAAAUUAAAUAACUUCGCAUAAAAUGAGACUAAACAAUUCUAAAAUGAAACAGAUGAAAUACCAUAAUUUUAUGUAGCUCGUCUAAACUGGCGUUAGUAUAUUUGAUUUCCUUUUUUUUUUAAUUAAAAGCUACAUUUGUGGUUCUUCUUUGACAUUUGUGAGACUAUUUUUUGUUUUCUCGAGUGUUUACCACAUGGAAACAGUGAUUUUAGAUUGUUUUUUUCUUCUUAUUAUUCUAUAAAAACCUUCAAAAUUAAAUUGACGUUAAAAUGCAAAAGGAAAUGUUGGCCAAAUAUAUUACAACAAUGAAUUGUGGUACUACUAGCUCAACAAGAUACUCUAUAUAAAUAAAUAUUUUUGGAUUUUCAAAACCAAAAUUGUUGAAUGGAAUGCCUAUUAAUUAAAUUUUCGAAUGAAUGUGUGCCGUGUACUAUAUAAACUAGGGCAAGUGCUAGUUAAGAGGCAAGCCAGUCUAGUUUGUAUAAUUUAUUGUGAAUAUGCUCCAACUUACUGGGCCAACCAUUAAUUAUUGAAAUUUGUAACUUAUGAUACUAAAUGCAUGCUAAUAUAAUACACUGAUUAGGUAUGUGGAUUUACAAGUCCAAUUAAGUAGACUCGUAAUAGACAUGCAAAUUAUGUGUUAUGUUAUGAGGAUGAUGAUUCAUUUUGUACCCAUGUGAUUCCAGUUAAGCGGAGAUACUAAGCUAGCAUUUCGUUAUAAAUUUUUAAAUAUUUUCGGUAAAUAUUUAUUUAGAUAAAAUUUUAUCAUGUUUUUAAUCAUAUUAUUUAAAAAAUAAAUUUUAUCCUUUUAAGAAAUAUGAUAUAUACCAUAAGUUUUAAAAGCUAUAAAGCUAACAAUAUGUUUUGUAUUACAUAACACGUGACUUUGUUACCUUAAGCGAAUUGUUAUCAUUUUCAUUAACAAUUAUAUCAUCACUUUCAUAUUUACUAAAUAUUCUAUCGCUACUUUAAUGUUCACGUUAAAUAGUAUGUAAAAUAAACGCAAACAACUACAAUAAAAGGUGUUAUUGUAAAAGAUAAAACUUUGGUGUAGAUUUUUUGAAUAGUUAAAAGUUUUCAAAUAUUGAAAUUGACCUAGUUUUUUUUCUAGUAUUUAUGAAUUUAGAUUAUUUAUCAAAUAAUGAUAAGUUGUAUGGACAAACACUAUUUGCCAAAAAUAAAUUUUCGAAUUUUAUUUGAUAAAUCUGUGGCCAAGCGGGCCUUAUAUGCGUCCUAAUACACUAAUUAGGUAUGCAGGAGAAAUGUAACAAUUAUAAAUUUUUCUUUGAAAGCGUGGUUUAUGAUGAUUUGAUUUAUAACAAUUUCAGUCGGAAAAAGAUAAUAUAUAUAUUGCACAAUUUUGAUUGUUUGAAAGAUAAUAACAGAUUCUUGUAUUGAUGUUGUAAAUUGUGGUAGAUUUUUUUUUGGUUAAUUAAUACGUAUAUUCACGAUAAUCUCAUUUGUUUCAACAGAGAAGGGGUCCAUCUUUUAUUUUUACAUUUAGAAUUCGACUUGUAUGAUGAAUACUAAUAGAAAUUCAACUAUUAUGUUAAAGAAAAGUUUGUUUCAGAGGGAGAAAAAGAUGUAUCGAAUUCUUUUUAUAAUGACAAAGAAGAUAAUAAUAGUGAAUGUUCUAACAAAAACAUUUUCACGAAAAUCAAUUUUUUUUUAUCAUGAAAACUAAAUCAAUUCAACAUGCGUAUAAGUUUUGCUUUGUCAUUCUUUUAUAUUUGUUAUAUUUUUUUCUUUUUAAUUUUGUUUUAUAUAUACUAGCUGUUUUUUUUUUUUGGGGGGGGGGGGGGUAAUUUAUUAUUGUUUCUAUAUGUUGGGUGUGAAUUGUGGGAUUCUCCCACAUCGAUUGCUGAUAGUUAUAUAUAGUAAUUAUAUAAUAUAUAAUCACAUGCAUUACCAUGUAUAUGCAACAUAUAACAUUCUACAGAGUCUAUGCAUAUAUACAUUACAUUACAGCUAUAAUACUUUGAGUUUGAUUAAUUCAUAGCAGUUUAUCAUUUUUAAAAAAAAUACUCCCUUCUUUCCUAUUUUAUGACCAACAAACACAAAUGAUUCACUUAAUUUUUUUAUUAUAAUUAUUUAUGUAUUAAUUUUAUGAAAUAAUCAAUAUUUUUAUUUUGGUAAACUAUUCAUAAUAACGAUGAAAUAUAAAAACAAACAGAGGAAGUAUAUAUAUGUCAAAUUCUUAUUUUGCUCUAUUGAGAAAAGUGUGCAUUCCUAGGAAGUGGAAAAUAAGAUGUAAACAUGAAUAGACAAUUUAACAAAUUCUAUGCUUAGAGGCCGCGCAGAAAACGACUUUUUUUUUAUAUAUAAGUAAUCAAAAAGGAAAAUUUACCUAAUUAGAUAACCAUAUUUAUAUAUGAUCUUAUUCUUUAAAAUUAUUAUAUAUUAGUAAGUUAAUAAAUUUUAAAUGUGUCGAAAUAUAUUUAUUUUUGUUAUCACAUACAUUUAAAAGAGGUGAACAGGUGAAGCAAAAAGGCGAGCAACAUAUUUACAAUAUAUGUAAAUUUUAGCACGUUGCGCCCAUGCACCUGUUCUUUUCCGUCCCAUCUUACUCAAUAAUGCUUUAAUGUGUUUUCUUCUUCUUUUUAUUUAAAUUUUCCUAUUUUUGUUGGUGUAUAAUGCUCCACCUAAUUCAUGAAUAAUUUGAUUAUUUAUGUACUAAUUUUACUAUUUGUUUGAUUUGUGAAUGAAUUGAAUAAAAAUUAAGAACUUAUUAAUUUUAUACAUUAGUCCUGUUUAAUGGUUGGUAAGCAUAUAAUUGAAAAAGAAGAUUAUUUUGAAGCGUGAAGAAUCAUUUUUAUAUCAAAGAGAUAUUGUUAGUAUAUAUUCGGAAAAGAUAUAAGCAAUUCACUUCUGGUGUAUAUUUCCUUUUAUAUGCCUAAGGAGUAGGCAGAUGCCCAAAUUUUAACAGAAAAUUAAUGUAACGUUUGCUAGUUUAUGCAGCCGUCUUAUGCAAGUGACAAAUGCAGUUUCAUUUCCAUUUAUAGUUUCUGAGUGAAAGUCGAGAUUUUCAAUUAAGAUGUUCAAAAUAUGAAUAAAUAGAUACACGAAGUAAUAGAGAAGAUUUAACAUUUACUAUAUGUAUCUAAAAGAUUAUUUUAACUACGUAUAAAUAAUACUAAUAUUCCGACGAAGGGAGUUUGGAUGGACCUGAGAACAAGGUGGCUCCGCCACUGUUUCUGAGGUACAUUAUGCCUUUAUACUGCCUCAGAGCAUCCGCUUACAGACCAAAUUCAUUUUCUUUUUAUUCUUAAUUAAAAAAGGCAUACAUAUAUAAUUGAAACACAACAUCAUAUAAGCUUAACGUCAAAAGCUCCCAUAUAAUCCUAUAUAUUAGAUCAUCAAUCAAUCUUAUUUCAAACAAGUAAUUAAUUACUUAACCAUUGGAAGGUGGGGCAAUCACUGAACCCUUAGCAAUCUUGGACUUGAAAGACUUUGUCAAAUCUGGAGUCGUAUUUAGAGAGGCCUCUAAAAUUGAUGGAGACGCUGCUUCCCAAAUUGAGUUUUUCCCACCUGAUAAUUCUCCAUAUACUUGCCUGCAAAUAUAUCGUAAAACAUUAAUCAGUACUUACUAUAUACUAGUUAACGUCUUUGCAUAAAUUG
rnacentral:lncRNA from 1 species